rnacentral:rRNA from 1 species
CCUACGGGGGGCAGCAGCCGCGGUAAUACGUAGGGGGCAAGCGUUAUCCGGAUUUACUGGGUGUAAAGGGAGCGUAGACGGUCCUGCAAGCCAGAUGUGAAAGCCCGGGGCUCAACCCCGGGACUGCAUUUGGAACUGUAAGGCUAGAGUGUCGGAGAGGCAGGCGGAAUUCCUAGUGUAGCGGUGAAAUGCGUAGAUAUUAGGAGGAACACCAGUGGCGAAGGCGGCCUGCUGGACGAUGACUGACGUUGAGGCUCGAAAGCGUGGGGGGCCAACAGGAUUAGAAACCCGGGUA